rnacentral:lncRNA from 1 species
GGGGAGUCAAAAUUUGAGGGCGGUUAUCGGAGGUCCGGAACAGCCCUCAACUCUCAACACUACGUUUGCUAAUUUUAAUACCGUUCAGUUUUAGUAUCUUUUUAUGUAGGAGUAAUAAAUGUUAAAACACUAAACAGGAUGAACCGCUUCAACUUAGUUAUUAACUAGCCACUUCAAAGAAUGUUAGUGGCAUUUCUGAGGGGCAUUUUCAAUUCACCAACUGUCAGACUCAGCUGAGGAAGAGUAUAGCAGCUUGCUAGCUUCUUAGAUAACAUAUAAUGCAUCUUAUAUGUAAUAUACUUGGUCUAUGACAUUGAAGUAACUCUGUCUACCUAGAAUGUUACAUACAAUCUAUUUCUAUUUGCAGCUAACUGCUGCUGCCAGUGGGCAGCAGCCCUCAACUCUCAACAUUUGGUUUGCUAGCUAGCUUCUAAUUCCCCAUAUCUUUAAUCUAUUUACGCUGAAUUUUGGGUCAUUAGAUAGGUGAUACAACUCACUCAUAAUAGAGCAUAUUAGCUGAGCAUCUUAAGCAACAUAGCUGCGCUGACUGAAAGUCUAAGGUGAGCCCCCUAGCCAUCGCCCAACUCAAUUGCUGCUGCUGCCGCUGCAGGGGGCAGCAACCCUGCUUGUAAUAUCACCACUUUGCGAUAUUAAAAAUUGUUUUUCGUUUCAAUCUAAUAUACCCAAACUCUUUAAUUAUCAUUUCAUAUGAGAUAUCAAUCUGAUACAAGCCUUGAUUCCAUCUAAUAUUCGGUUUUUUAGCCAAAACAGUUCACUUGGGACUUUUAUCGAACAACUUGUGCACACUGUUCUAAACUACCAAUUUCAUGGCUAUUUAUUUGAAUUUCAAACCCAUUUAGUCUCUCUUAUGCCUCCGCACAACCAACUUAUCUCCUCUAAUCUUGUUUCAGCCAUAGCAAUUCAUUGAUCAGCUAUAAAUAUGCAUAACCAAUAUAUAAAUCAACUUCAAAAAAAAAA